rnacentral:rRNA from 1 species
GACAGAGGGUGUAAACGUUGUUCGGAAUUACUGGGCGUAAAGCGCGUGUAGGCUGCUUCGCAAGUCGGGUGUGAAAGCCCUGGGCUCAACCUAGGAAGUGCACUCGAAACUGCCACGCUAGAGUAUCGGAGAGGUUGGUGGAAUUCUCGGUGUAGAGGUGAAAUUCGUAGAUAUCGAGAGGAACACCGAUGGCGAAGGCGGCCAACUGGACGAAUACUGACGCUGAGACUCGAAAGCGUGGGGAGCAAACAGG